GACGUAGGGGGCAAGCGUUGUCCGGAUUUACUGGGUGUAAAGGGUGCUCAGGCGGAUUCGUAAGUCAGUGGUGAAAUCCCGGAGCUUAACUCCGGAACUGCCAUUGAUACUGCGAGUCUCGAGUUUGGAAGAGGUAGAUGGAAUAUCUGGUGUAGCAGUGAAAUGCGUAGAUAUCAGAUAGAACACCAAUGGCGAAGGCAGUCUACUGGUCCAAUACUGACGCUAAAGCACGAAAGUGUGGGUAGCAAACAGG
rnacentral:rRNA from 1 species